rnacentral:rRNA from 1 species
UACGGAGGGUGCGAGCGUUGUCCGGAAUCACUGGGCGUAAAGGGCGCGUAGGCGGCGCGGGCAGUCAACGGUGAAAGCUUGGGGCUCAACCCCGAGUCGGCCGUCGAUACUCCCGUGCUUGAGCACUGUAGAGGCAGGUGGAAUUCCGGGUGUAGCGGUGGAAUGCGUAGAUAUCGGGAGGAACACCUAUGGCGAAGGCAGCUCGCUGGGACGUUACUGACGCUGAGACGCGAAAGCGUGGGGAGCAAACAGG